CCUACGGGAGGCAGCAGUGGGGAAUAUUGCACAAUGGGCGAAAGCCUGAUGCAGCGACGCCGCGUGAGGGAUGACGGCCUUCGGGUUGUAAACCUCUUUCAGCAGGGAAGAAGCGAAAGUGACGGUACCUGCAGAAGAAGCGCCGGCUAACUACGUGCCAGCAGCCGCGGUAAUACGUAGGGCGCAAGCGUUGUCCGGAAUUAUUGGGCGUAAAGAGCUCGUAGGCGGCUUGUCACGUCGGGUGUGAAAGCCCGGGGCUUAACCCCGGGUCUGCAUUCGAUACGGGCUAGCUAGAGUGUGGUAGGGGAGAUCGGAAUUCCUGGUGUAGCGGUGAAAUGCGCAGAUAUCAGGAGGAACACCGGUGGCGAAGGCGGAUCUCUGGGCCAUUACUGACGCUGAGGAGCGAAAGCGUGGGGAGCGAACAGGAUUAGAUACCCUGGUAGUCCACGCCGUAAACGGUGGGAACUAGGUGUUGGCGACAUUCCACGUCGUCGUGCGCNGCUACGCAUAACGUUACCCGUCCGUCGGGUAGGUACGGCCGCGACGGACGUAAACGUACGAAAGGAAAGUUAAGUACGGCGUUGAGACGUUGCCGAACGGCGACGACGAGGGAGGAGG
rnacentral:rRNA from 1 species